CUGAAUACAGGGUUGUGUUUGUUGACUCAGAAGCCACAUCACAUUUGGAAAAGAAAUGGAGUCUUGCAAAUGGUCAUGUCGUUCAUGAUAUUCAUCAUCCAUAGCUAACGUAGUUGUGCGGAAAUAGCUCCACACUCCAGCUUCUGAUCGUUCUUGCAUUCAUCUGGAGUUUGACAUUGCUCAAACUGGUCUUGCGAGACCACGUUGGUGUAUAUUCAGAGAAUUGCAUUGAGACUGUAGAGGAGGCUGAAAUGCUAUUGGGUCUUUCAUCGAAUACAUUCUUCUCCAUUCAUGUUGAUAAUGAAGAUGGAACCCCCUACAACAGUGGCUCUCUCCCACCUCCUUUCCCAUCUCCCUGUACUCUAAGAACUGCUCUUGCAUGAUAUGCUGAUCUUCUGAAUUUUCCU